GCCGAAGUGGCGGAACUGGCAGACGCGCGGGUCUCAAAAACCCGUGAUCCUCUGGGUCGUGAGGGUUCGAGCCCCUCCUUCGGCA
rnacentral:tRNA from 2 species